GGGAGGCCGGGAGGGGUCCCUGGGCGGGGAGUUGCUGCGCAUCUGUUGUGUGUGUGCGUCUGUCUGUCUGUUCAGGUCUGUUUCAGACUACGUCUGCCUGUCUGUCCAGGUCUGUUUUAGGCUGUGUCUGCCUGUCUCUCUGUCUGGGUCUCUUUCAGGCUGCGUCGGUCUGUCUGUCUGGGUCUGUUUCAGGCUGUGUCUGUCUGUCUGUCCGGGUCUGUUUCAGGCUGUGUCUGUCUGUCUGUCCGGGUCUGUUUCAGGCUGUGUCUGUCUGUCUGUCCGGGUCUGUUUCAGGCUGUGUCUGUCUGUCUGUCUGGGUCUGUUUCAGGCUGUGUCUGUCUGUCUGUUUGUCUGGGUCUGUUUCAGGCUGUGUCUGUCUGUCCGGGUCUGUUUCAGGCUGUAUGUGUGUCUGCUCUUUGCUUCUGCUCCUGGCUCUGUGUGUAUUUCCCGGGUCCUGUG
rnacentral:lncRNA from 1 species